UUUUGAAGGUAUUUGUACAAGGAGAUAGAAAAUUCCAGAUGGCAAAUAUGGUAGUUGAAGCCGGACAGAAGUGGACCCCCGCACCACAGUCCUUCAGCCAUCAUACUCUGAGUUGGAUAUAACUGGAGUCUGUGAGCCAGUGCUGGAUAUCAAACCCGUCAUGUCUACCAGCGUCAUGGCCUAUCCUGUUGCAGUAAGACUAGGCACUUCCUCUCCUAUUGAGGCUGGACAAGGCAACCCAGUACAAGGAAAGGAUCCCUAAAGCAGGCAACAGAGUCAUAGCAGCCCCUGCUCCCUCUGCCAGGAGAUCCACGAGAAGGCCAAGCUACACAACUACGGCAUUACAUGCAGAGGACCUAGUUCGGUUCCAUACAAGUUCUCUGUUUGUCGGUUCAGUCUCUAUGAACCCAGGUCUCAGGCUGCCCAGCCUCUGGGUCCUGGUCCUCAAGGAUGGGUGCCCUCUCAUCGUCCGGGUCUCAAGCUGUACUGGUUGGCCAUUCCCAUAAUUUCUGCGUCACCUUUGUCCCAGCACGUCUUAUAGGCGAGAAAAAUGUUGUUUCUUAAAAACACAAAUUAACAUUGAAUUGAAAAAUAGUCUCUGCAUCUGUGGAGCUGAUCAUGAUUUUACUCUGUUGGUCAGUUGUUAGGAAGAAGGAUUUUUGUAACAUUUUACCAUUUCAAGUUCAAUAC